CAGUCGCCACGGUAAUACAGAGGGUGCGAGCGUUAAUCGGAUUUACUGGGCGUAAAGCGCACGUAGGCGGCUUGGUAAGUUAGAGGUGAAAGCCCAGGGCUCAACCCUGGAAUUGCCUUUAAGACUGCCGAGCUAGUAGGUGAGAGAGGUAAGUGGAAUUCCGAGUGUAGAGGUGAAAUUCGUAGAUAUUCGGAAGAACACCAGUGGCGAAGGCGGCUUACUGGCUCAUUCUAGACGCUGAGGUGCGAAAGCGUGGGGAGCAAACAGGAUUAGAUACCCCCGUAGUCCCUGUCUCUUAUAC
rnacentral:rRNA from 1 species